rnacentral:rRNA from 1 species
AUACGGAGGGGGCUAGCGUUGUUCGGAAUUACUGGGCGUAAAGCGCACGUAGGCGGACUGAUCAGUUGGGGGUGAAAUCCCAGGGCUCAACCCUGGAACUGCCUCCAAUACUGUCAGUCUUGAGAUCGGAAGAGGUGAGUGGAAUUCCUAGUGUAGCGGUGAAAUUCGUAGAUAUUAGGAGGAACACCAGUGGCGAAGGCGGCUCACUGGUCCGAUACUGACGCUGAGGUGCGAAAGCGUGGGGAGCAAACAGGAUUAGAAACCCUAGUAGUCC